rnacentral:tRNA from 1 species
UGGGGAGUGGCCAAGCGGUAAGGCGCCUGACUCUGGAUCAGGAGAUCGAAGGUUCGAAUCCUUCCUCCCCAGCCA